rnacentral:rRNA from 1 species
CACGUAGGGCGCAAGCGUUGUCCGGAAUUAUUGGGCGUAAAGAGCUCGUAGGCGGUCUGUCGCGUCGGAUGUGAAAACCCAGGGCUCAACCCUGGGCCUGCAUUCGAUACGGGCAGACUAGAGUUCGGUAGGGGAGACUGGAAUUCCUGGUGUAGCGGUGAAAUGCGCAGAUAUCAGGAGGAACACCGGUGGCGAAGGCGGGUCUCUGGGCCGAAACUGACGCUGAGGAACGAAAGCCAGGGUAGCGAACGGG